AAUUUGUUGUUGUUGUUGUUGUUAAGUUAUUUUAGUCGUGUUCGAUUUUGUGCGAUUUUAUAGACGGUAGUUUAUUAGGUUUUUUCGUUUUUGGGAUUUUUUAGGUAAGAAUAUUGGAGUGGGUUGUUAUUUUUUUUUUUAAUGUAUGAAAGUGAAAAGUGAAAGUGAAGUCGCUCAGUCGUGUCUGACUCUUUGCGACCCCAUGGACUGCAGCACGCCAGGCUUCCCUGUCCAUCACCAACUCCCGG
rnacentral:misc_RNA from 1 species